rnacentral:rRNA from 1 species
GAUGAACGCUGGCGGCGUGCCUAAUACAUGCAAGUCGAGCGAACAGACGAGGAGCUUGCUCCUCUGACGGUAGCGGCGGACGGGUGAUGAACACGUGGAUAACAUACCUAUAAGACUGGGAUAACUUCGGGAAACCGGAGCGAAUACCGGGUAAUAUAUUGAACCGCAUGGUUCAAGAGUGAAAGACGGUUUUGCUGUCACUUAGAGAUGGGUCCGCGGCGCAUUAGCUAGUUGGUAAGGUAACGGCUUACCAAGGCAACGAUGCGUAGCCGACCUGAGAGGGUGAUCGGCCACACCGGAACUGAGGCGCGGUCCAGCCUCCUACGGGAGGCAGCAGUAGGGGAUCUUCCGCAAUGGGCGAAAGCCUGACGGAGCAACGCCGCGUGAGUGAUGAAGGUCUUCGGAUCGUAAAACUCUGUUAUUAGGGAAGAACAAAUGUGUAAGUAACUAUGCACGUCUUGACGGUACCUAAUCAGAAAGCCACGGCUAACUACGUG